AAGCAUUAAAUGGUGAUAAUAUUACUUCUGAUCGUUACAUAUAUGUUACGUCGAAUGGAGUUGUCGAAGGCUUAGCAUACUUAUCAACUAUUCCAUUAUUACUCUAUGUUGGACGCAAAAUAGCAGUUUCCGGUUUAUUUUUUGCAUCCGGAAUAUUGCAGCUUGCAUUGUUAACAAUACCACAAGAAAGUGCAAAUUUUUUUAUUAUUUGUUGCUUUUCUUGGAAAAUUUUGUGUGAGUGCAGUAUUUUUAGUUAGUUUGUUUUAUACAUUAGAGUUAUAUCCAACUACAAUAAGAAAUACUGGCCUUGGAACAUCAUUGACUAUUUCUCAAAUAGGAUCUGUUAUUGCACCAUAUGUAGUAGAAUUAUUGGGAGCUAAAGAUUGGUACAUUCCAUGUACAGUGUGUGGAAUGUUGGGCAUUUUUGUUUCAAGUUUGGUUCUAAUGUUGCCUGAAACAAAGGGAACAGUAUU